rnacentral:rRNA from 1 species
CAAGUCGAACGGCAGCACGAGGACGAGGGUAACUUCGCUCUUGGUGGCGAGUGGCGAACGGGUGAGUAAUAUAUCGGAACGUACCCAGGAGAGGGGGACAACGCCGCGAAAGCGGCGCUAAUACCGCAUACGAUCUACGGAAGAAAGUGGGGGACCGAGAAAUUGGCCUCACGCUCGUGGAACGGCCGAUAUCUGAUUAGCUAGUUGGUGGGGUAAAGGCCUACCAAGGCAUCGAUCAGUAGCUGGUCUGAGAGGACGACCAGCCACACUGGAACUGAGACACGGUCCAGACUCCUACGGGAGGCAGCAGUGGGGAAUUUUGGACAAUGGGCGCAAGCCUGAUCCAGCAAUGCCGCGUGAGUGAAGAAGGCCUUCGGGUUGUAAAGCUCUUUUGUCAGGGAAGAAACGGUAAUCUCAAAUAAAGGUUAUUAAUGACGGUACCUGAAGAAUAAGCACCGGCUAACUACGUGCCAGCAGCCGCGGUAAUACGUAGGGUGCAAGCGUUAAUCGGAAUUACUGGGCGUAAAGGGUGCGCAGGCGGUACGUUAAGUCAGAUGUGAAAUCCCCGGGCUCAACCUGGGAAUGGCAUUUGAAACUGGCGUGCUAGAGUGAAUCAGAGGGGGGUAGAAUUCCACGUGUAGCAGUGAAAUGCGUAGAGAUGUGGAGGAACACCGAUGGCGAAGGCAGCCCCCUGGGAAAAUCACUGACGCUCAAGCACGAAAAGCGUGGGGAGCAAACAGGAUUAGAUACCCUG